GAUGAAGAACGUAGCGAAAUGCGAUAAGUAAUGUGAAUUGCAGAAUUCAGUGAAUCAUCGAAUCUUUGAACGCAUCUUGCGCUCCUUGGUAUUCCGAGGAGCAUGCCUGUUUGAGUGUCAUUCAACUUGUCAACCACUUUGGAAGUUGUUUUUCAAUGUGGCUUGGAUGUGGGGGUUUGCAGGCUUUCUCUGAGGGUCUGCUCCUCUGAAAUGCAUUAGUGGUAUUCCUGAGCUUUACUACAGAUGUGAUAAUUUAUCUACAUCCCAAAAGUAUGCUUCAGCAACACCGCUCCUAACAAGCGAAAGCACAUUUUGAUGAAUUUGACCUCAAAUCAGGUAGGACUACCCGCUGAACUUAAGCAUAUCAAUAAGCGGAGGA
rnacentral:misc_RNA from 1 species